rnacentral:piRNA from 1 species
UGAGUUGCACUCUUGCCUUUUGGUCC